UCUCCGUAGGUGAACCUGCGGAGGGAUCAUUACAGAGUUUUUGCCCGCAAGGGUAGAUCUCCCACCCUAUGUUAUUCCUUCUCUGUUGCUUUGGCGGGCCGUCCGGCCUCGGUCAGGCCACCGGCUCCGGCUAGUGCGCGCCCGCCAGAGGACCCCAAACCCUAAAUGUCAGUGUCGUCUGAGUACUAUAUAAUAGUUAAAACUUUCAACAACGGAUCUCUUGGUUCUG
rnacentral:misc_RNA from 1 species